rnacentral:lncRNA from 1 species
UAGGUCAGUAGGAGAUUUGAAGAAGGUGAAAGAUUCCUUAAUGUUGGAGAUGAAAAAUCUGCUCCAGUUCUGGUGUUAGGGAUUGUUAAGCUUGUAUUCAAGUCCAAUAUAAUUGAUCUCAGUAAAUAUCACUUUUAUCUUUCAUUUUUAUUGAAUAUUAUUUCUGUAAGUCUUUUGACCAAGAAUGGUUAUGAGAUUUUAAUA